GAGCGCUCAUGCUGCGCCGGGGCCCGGCUUCCUGUUUACUGAGAGAAAUUUCCUUCCGAAGCCAGAAAUUAAAAAUCAAACUCGCCCCUCUCUCCGGCCGAUAUCUGUCCGCCGAAGAAAAACGACUUGGAACGGCUCAAUCUGAGAGGACGCUCCACUUCUGGACAUGUGGGAAUUCUCCCACGCGCUGCGGCUCCCAGGUACACACCUAUUUCUGACAUUAUGAAUGAAGGGUGGGAACCGCUGAACACAUCCUGCCCGACCAUAAUUUCUUAUGUUUUCAUGGAUUAUUAAAGCUGUUGUAAACGACCGGUCUCAUAUACCAGGCUUGGCUGCUGAUUUGUUACCAGCUUCGCUGUCUUCAGGAUGAUUCUCCGAACCGGCACCGUAGGGACCCCGUGGCCUGCCGUUAAUUUACAGCCUAAGCUCACCUUUCCGUGUGGAGUAACUUUUUAAAACCAUUAUGGCAGACGACGGUCGACUUGCUAUGGCAAUGAAUUCAAAGAGAGCUGAAUCACAGGAAAAUAUACCGAGACCGAGUCAGACCAACUACCCCCCAAAUACAGAUAUGAGGCCUCCGGUGGAUUUGAUUGACACUGGGCGGAGCCUAAAGCUGCAAUCGGCCACACCCCAUCUGGUGAGCCUCGGAAGUGGCCGCCUCAGUGU